rnacentral:pre_miRNA from 1 species
ACUGGGGGGAGGGAAUCCCUCAGCCCAGAUUGAGGGAGGGCACAGGCCAGGCUAAGGGACCCCACCGGUGCAGA